AAGGAUUUAUAAUAAACGCAAUAAUCUAACCAUCUCAACAUAGGAAUCAUUUAUAUACCGAUUUCAAGAGCAAAAAUUCAAAAUUUCUAUUCACAUUCGCCUAAACAGUAGCUAAAUUUAUAAAUUCCUGCAAUAGAUCAAGUACUAGCGAUAAUGUUGCUGUCAUAAUCAUGCUAUAUCUAUUCUUAACUAAAAUUCCCUUGUUCAUGCUAAACUUAUCCAUUAACUUAGCUAAUAAUUUAAACUAAAUUAGAGAAUCAAAUUUUUCCUNNN
rnacentral:lncRNA from 1 species